rnacentral:tRNA from 1 species
GAUAGCUCAAUGGUAUAGCAUUCGGCUGUUAACCGAAGGGUUGUAGGUUCGAGCCCUACUC